UUCAUUUUUUAUGGCUCUUUGGGGUAAGGAUGAACAAUUAAGAAUAGCAAUUGCAGAUAUUUUGGCUUUUGAGUUUUGGAAUUGAGUUGUGAUUUGCAAUAUUUUAGGGGAUGAUUAAAUCAUUAUUCUUUUUCUUUCAUUUUUAUUGGAAAGUGUAUAAAAAACAAUGUGUGAUUUUUGCUUUUAUCUGUACCCAUCAAGUUUUCUUUUUUAUACGGUCAAUAUAUUAUGAUGUGUAGGCCAUGGCAUGCUUGCAGAAGGGUUAUAUUUGAUUUAAAAUGAGAUUUUUACACAUUUUUCCCUUAACAAAUAUCACACCUCCUGCACUGUCAAGGUUUCCGUCGGCCGUAUUGGGAUUCUGAUGGAAUUUAGAUUGAUUGUGCAGCCCUAGUUCAGGGGCAUGUUGUGCAAUACAUAAUAAUACAGUUUGUUUCCAGGUUUUUGUUUCCAUUACGUAGUGACAUCACCUCAGCCCCCCGCAAGACGAGACCGUGUACCUGUUAUCUGGAAAUAAUAUGUUUGCAGGUUCUUUGGGCCGGUCUUAUUCAAUUAGGCGGAUGUUGCACCGUCGACCAGUAUAUACUUUGUUGACGUCUCUCUAUAUUCCGUCAAUAUUUCAGUUUGACUGAACUUGAUCAGUCGCAUGUCGUCACAGUUCCUCCUGGUAGGCUCCUAUUGAGUCAUCACAUGCUCUGUUUACCGCAUCCGCUGCACCCGCUCAUCUGCCAAUUCUGGCAGCCGGUCCGUCAUUCUCUCAACCUCGCCAUCUAACCCCCUCCCCCCCCACCCCACCUUCCACUCCUUCCACCUCAGCAGCAUCUCCCCUCUUUCAAGUCUCUUGUCACUCAAAGGCAGAGCCACAGCCGGACUGAAUCUAAAACAACACUUAAGUCCCGAUACACAAUUUAUUUUUUGUCCUAUUUGUCCUCCUCGUCCGGCUCUUAAGUUGGUCAUACAGCGAUGUCCUCCUAAUGGAAAAAAAAAAAAAAAACACCUGUGGUUUACCAGAAUGCAGCAGAGGCAAAGAUGGAAAUCAUUUUGGGUAAAGAAAAGGGCCGUACACAUCUGCGUACAUAUUCAAUACUCCCUCGUCCGUCCUUGUCUGCAGUGCAGAUAAAGAUGUCAUUGUACACGCGGGGGGCAAAGAGGACGUUUUCUAUAACUCCGUUUUCUGUACAUGUUCCUAGAUGAAAGCUGCUCCCAUGGCGGGUCCACAGCAGUCGGCAAAAACGUGGCCUCCCCUGCACGUGUUCGCCAUGCCUUUGACACUGUGCUGUGGAUUCUUCUCCAUGGCAACCGUCCAGAGGAGAGCGGGGGGGAAAAAGUGGGUGAUUUUUAAACUCCCUCUCUUCCUUUCUCACUCUCACCAAAGCCGGCACUAAUCACAUUUUGCGAGAGCUUGAGGAUCGAGUUUUUGUGUUACUUCAAUGUCAUCAGCAGAGAUUUGGAGCAGCGAAACCAUUACUGGAUUGAAAAAAAAGUGGUAUAUUAUUUAUAUUCAUAAAGCAGCAUUCUAUGGGGACCUGUAACUCGGCUUAUGAUUUGCAUCAUUUUUCCGCUCUACAGUUUAACUGCAUUUAUUACACGUUUACACUGGUCCAUUAACUAAGCUGAUGAUUAUUAUAUUACUUAGGCUAUAAAUGCACAACUUUAUUGCUCCAGAUACAACAUUUAUACCAUGUAACGAGAUUCUAUUCAUUCUUAAUAGCUUAAAGAAGCUGCUUGGAGAUAAUACAAAGUUUAUCCCUGCUGAUAAUGCACUGUUAUGCUUCGGCUAGCGUCGAUCCUUCCACGCACAUUAGGACAUAAUGUUGCCCAACAGUUAAGUGAUUUAUGAACGGGAUUAGUCAGUCAGCGUCGUAGAUUAUCAGCUUCUUAAGAAUGACGCAGACGAGAUCUCCCCCACGAUGAGCGCUUAAUGUUAAUGUAAUAAUGGGGGGAGAAGGGGACGUCAGUUGUGCAUGCUAAGAUGUCCAUCAUUGAUUUUACAGCUGUCUAAGGAUGGAAGGGUAUUUUAUGCCUCCAGAGUGCACGCUGCAUGCAGGAGUCCCUUGACUCAAAUAUAGAUCGUCUCCUUCAGAGUGCGCUUGGAUGUUUCUGCCUCUGUCUUCACUUUUGGUUUCGUGGUGUGUCAGCUCUUCAUCUGUGGAGCUUUGGUGUGACAGAGUGUCAUAUAUAUAUAUAUAUAUAUAUAUAUACACACACACGUAUAUGUUAUUGACUUGCAGAAUACAAGCACCUAAGAAACGUAACUCCAAUGUAGUGAUGGAAUAAUAUUUCUUCCCACCACUUAGUUAGUUACUGUAAUACUAAGCCCAUAGUUAUGUACUGUAACUAUAUAAUGAAUCAUUGGGGAGCCGAUAAGGCAACGUGACUCCUCAGAUACCAGCUGCCUGCGGUGCUUUUACCCGGCCUGCUGGUUCUGGACACUCGUCAGGAAACGCGGCUCAGUUCUGGCCGGCUGGCUCGCCGUCUGUGUAAUAGGUCCUUGUCAAAAGUUUACAGAGCUUCAGCAGUUGGCGGAGGAGCCCGGGGCUGCGAUUGGCGUGCAGAGGAGGGUUCUGAUGAGCUGUGAGAGCCCAGUGGCUCGACAGCCGCCGUCCCGUUCUCAUUCGCUUUCCAUUGUCGAGAGUGUCUGCACGUGUUCCUGUUCCUCAGCGCCACAUUUGAUACGUUGAAAUCAUUUUGUUAUUAGCUUUCAUCUGUUUACAACGCGUCGUUUAGAUUCACAAUUAUCAGUUUCGAGGCAGGAUGGUGCCUCCAGGAGGGAGUUGGAGGUCGUUAUCCGCCUUUUUUGAGUUUCAGAUCUUAAUCCUGUUCACAGCUGAGCGGCCAGGCCAUUCAGAGAAUUGUCUUUUAAACAGCUUAACUUGUUUGUAACAGACAUGUAUCUCUAUGUGAUGUCAUUUGAGGUGUUAAUGUUAGGAAGUUAAACAGAUAAUUGUUCUCUAAAGUGUAUUUUAUUCUACUGGGAAAAACCUCAAACAAAUGCGUUGAUUGUUUUGUGCCAAAUACCAAAUUUUCCCAAAUUACAUUUGAACCCAGAUGAGCUUGUCUCAAACCGGUGGGCCGGUCAUGUUAAAUGCGAGAGCAAACGGGCCAAUUCACUGGAAAGCUAAUCGAUCUGCAUCUCUGGUCUCUGCUGGUCUUCAAACCUACCGGGUUCCACGUCUCAGACCUUCCACCCACACCACAAAUGUACAGGAAGAACAGCCCACGUUGAGAUGCUCUACCCUGCAGUCUACGACCAUUCAUGAAGUGGAUACAAAGGUGUAGCUUAUAUGGAUUUCUCUAGCUUAGAAAAAUGAGCGAUUGUGUGUGUAUUGUAUUCGAGCAACACAGAAUUGCUUCCUCUUUACUGGAAUUUGUUUUUCUCCUGAUGUGGCCGGGCGCUGAUCAGUUGUAAAGUUGUACGGAUCUGCAGGCGUGUAAUAAAGGGGUAGUGACACUAAACAUUUGUUGAGUUGAAAACCACAAUCAUUUUCACAGAAGGGCUGCUGCCAUUAGUUUAGGGAUCACAAUGGGUAACUGGAAACAGUUGGUUGAUUGAUCAAAAAAGAUAAAUUGAUAAUUGAUGUUUUUCAGCUUUUCUGUGUCGUAUUUGAAACAAAUGUGUGGUCAGAAAAAAAGCUGGUUUGACUCGUGGAUGUUGUUAUGGUUCUUUCUGCGAUAUUGUUGUUAAUAAGUUAUGAAUAAAGGUGGUGCUCCAGCUACUUUGUGAUGCAGCUGUAAAAACAUCUGCCCAUGAGGAGACUGAUUUCCUUGUGCUAAAGUGUGAAUGUAAGGCGGUUUGUAAUAAGUCAACUCCGAGCGGAGGAGUUGCGGUAUCCUUGGAGAACCGCUGCCUAAUGAAGGAAGUGAUUUAAUAUUAAAUGAAGAGCCAAACAGAAGUUGACAGUGAAUAAUAUCACAAACCCCCUUGAAACAAAAAACCUUUUGAGAUGAACUGAACACAGAUUAAAGCAUCACAAUAUUAACAGGCCUCUCGGUCAAUAUCCCUUCAAACACAGUGUUGAAAACUCCUCAUGUUGUUCAGCACUUAAACACAAGAUUAAACCGCUCUAAUACACCAGUGAAAUAAUAUAUAAACUGGAAAUACACUGAUUCAAACAGACAGCUAGAAUGGCUCUUUUCAUUUUAAAGGAUACACCAAACGUAUGAUGAUGUUUCAGUUUGCAUACAGUUCCUAAAUGAUCAGUUAGUGUCACUGUUGCUGUUUCAUUUUGUUUUUGACAAAUCCGUGAAUUGUCCUUUUCCCUUUUCUUAUCCUUUUAUUGUUCUAUUCAUAUUUUUGUAAUUGCAAGAUUAACAUCAUUGGUAAUCAUGUCGACCAACAAACAAUAAUUGCUUUCAGUCAGCCGUAAAAUUCCACAUCACCGCUUCUUUAUCUCAAUUAUAUGCUCAACAUGUUGUACGUUUUUCUUUUCCACACGGCUCUUUCUCACCGAAUGCUUGUCGGUAUCAGAGUGUAUCUGAGCGUGGGCGCAGAUCCAACAUUGCAACAUUUCAUCCUGGCUCCUAUCUACUACCCAGCCAUCUAAAUGUUAGCGGCAUUACAGUCGGGGGACUGAAGCAAAGGGCCACAUUAGUCUGUGCGCUGCGGAGACUAACAGCAUCGUGCAACAAAGGCCGUUGGACACACGGCCAGCGUGAAAAAGCAAUGAAACAUCAAAGCGGUGCCGCUGAUUGUUCGCAGCGGAGGGAAGAGAUACGGCGGCGAUGCUGCGUCUCCCUCUAAAGCUCUCCAUCCGGUAAAUUACGCUUAGGUGUUCACUUUUCCUUGUUGACACGGGGCGGAAGCACAGCGGCGUCCUCGUUAAGGCACAGUGGGUAACAUGACACUCUGGUCCAUGCGCUCGAAUAAUGAUGUGACCGUCUGUGUUUUUUUGAUUUUUUUUUAUGGAUAAUCACGCAGCGCCUCACAUAACGGCUUUACAUUCGGUAACGGGGCGAAUGAAAAUGACAAUUGAAGGUGCAAGUUGAUUGGAGGGAGGUGAUGGCAGUAUUGUCCUCGCUCCUGUUUACAGCAUUUAUUAAUUAUUUUAUUUUAGGUAAAUGAAUGAAUCAGAUCGCCGGAUCCCAUGGCUUUUCUUCCCUCCGCUUGCACAGCAGCUUGAUUCUCGGCGAAGAGCUGCAGGCCGCCGCCGGGCAGCUCCGGGCGCCGCUUAGGCGCGUGCGAGACGACACGGGAGAGGCCGAUCGUCUUUUUUCAAAACAACAAUGCCGUCUGCCCCCUCCCACCCCCCCCCCCCCGCUAGAGAUCAGGGUCAGGGCCGACUCGGAUGCUGCAACAGCUUCGGUUCCAUCUGCAUUUCCUCGUUGAAAGAAGAGCAGAGAGGCGCACUGAAGAAGCCAUCUGGUUGAAUAAGUGCACGCCCGUCUCAAGCUUUCCUACGAGAGGAGCUUCUGUUUUAUUCAAUGCAAAGCCUGUUGCUGUUCCAUUUCGUCUUGUUUAUUAGUAUUUCAGUUUUUUCUUUUAAUUAAUUUUUUAUUCGUGCCCUAGCAGUACCUCGGUGCUGGUGCCGUCUGGACCCCACACUGCCCUGUGGGACCCUCCCGGGCGUCUUGCAGCCUGCUCCAGCAUCCCUGGCUGCUGCUACUCAGAGCCCAAGGCAUUCAGUCGGAUGUGUCGAUGAAGCUCCGGGUAAAGGCAAACAAAGAGGCCACACAGGAGCCUUUUUCCCACAGCUAUUAUAGACUGUGCUGUGUGCGACUGUUCUCCCUCCGUAUGUGUUCGGGUGGGUGCGGAGGAUGGAGGGGGAUGCUAACAGGAGUGUCUGAGGGUUUGUCUUUUAUAAUCGGUAAGACACUGUGCUUGAGAGCUUGCAGAAUUAGUCGGGUGCACGUUCUGUCUUUUCUGUUCAUGCCACAUUAAUAACUUGCCAAGACACAUUUAAAUGCACGCAUGCAUGCAAAUGAAUUGGAACCCGUGGAAUCUUUUGAGAGGUGUUUCAUAUUUCAUCAGUCAGUAGUUGAAUACUAUUGAUGAGACUGUCAACAAUUGGACAGGCGCAUAAGUUGAUGCAGAGACGGCUGAUCUGUUUUUCUUACACCGCGAGGCAUCCGAAGCUUGUUAAAAGUAAUGCAUGCACUGUUUGUUAUUGGGAUAUUAGGGAUUUGCACUAAAAAGACACAGAGCCACAAGCCAAUUCACUCCUGUAUGCUCUGUAAGCAAGGACAGUUUAUUUUUCCAACCGUGUAAAUGUCUGUAUAUAAUCGUUGUGAGUUUUUAGCAGAUGAAAGGUAAGCUCAAGAAUAGUUUCUUGGCUAAUAACAAACCAGCGCUGUGCGUUGGACGCACAUUUGAUUUCAGAGCCGGCCCUUUGUAAACACACAAGUGUCAUUUGUUUCUUUAUUUUCCGCCCAUAUGUUACUGGCAACCUGCUUUCCACUGAACAUCCAAAAGCACUUAGAAGAAUAGAGAACCAUAGUUAUUAUUUUAAUCAUUGUUACACAACAAUGCCAGUUCCUCUCACACACACACACACACACACACACAGAGUCACAUAUUCUUUAAAUUACAGUCCGUUGAAGUCCACGCUCUCAUGCGACAUGAGACGGUGUCCUGGCGCGCAGAUGAGACCGUUUCAGGUGAGCAGGUGAGCCGCUGCUUUUUAAGUGUAGUGCAUCCGGCUGUCCGGCUAAGAUGGACUGCUCCCUCCAGACGAGGUAAAGCGGACUCGGUGUUCCCUCGUAUGAUAGAUGUGCUCAUUUGCAUGCCAGGCUGUCGGUUUCAACACUGCCAGGCCUCCUUCGUCUUUCUUCGUCGUACUACAUUGGGGUUAGGGGACGCCAUACGCCUUAAUCCACUACUUAUAGCCCGUGGUCCUUAUUCAGUCUGCUCAAAAAUAUGAUCUGUUGUCACGGGACAAGUAGCCCGGACAAACAGAACAUGUAUUGUGAUCAAUGACUCGAUGGCGGGUCGUCCAUGCAGUUUGUAUUUUUAAAGUUUGUAUGUAUUGUCUACAAUGUAAUGGAUAUAAAGCAUGCACUUUAAUAUAGACAAAUGCUACAUUGUUUCCUCUGCAGCAGGGCGCUCUAGUUGAGGAAGGAAAGGAAAAGAGGCUCAAUGCUCCAGCAGCAGGCUGUAAACUCUCUUCUUGCAGGAGGUGACGUAGCCCCACGAAUAUAUUUAUGCUAGGCCAUUAUCAUUGGAUUAUAAUUAUUGAUGCAUUGAUGUGUGAUUCACUUGAAUACAGCCACCUUCACCAACCUUAACUUCAUACAUAACGAUGACUGUGUACUAGUAUUUGAUAAUACAUCAUAUCUGUAUUAGUUGAUUAGUUACAAACAGCAGAAGACAUGUAAUAUACAUCUCAAAAUAAAAUAGAAUUUAUAAAUACAUUUAUAAAAGUUUUUAAAAAGUCGAGGAAUUCAAAAUCAAAAUCAAACAAAAAAUCAAAAAACACUUUUUAUGUUGUGUAUUCUCUUUUUAACAUCACAUAGAUCACAGCGCGUUUAAAGCUUCUGCAUUCUGGCUUCUUUGUGUGUUGCACAUUACGUUUCUCCUCUGAAACGGUCACUCUUUAAACCACUAUUGAAACUAAAAAUAAUCUGUUCUCUGGGGUCCAACCUAAUACUACUCACGAACCUUUAUUCAAUUAUGAAAUGCAAAUGUUGAUGAUUUAAAUCAAUCAUCAAUAAAAAACAAAGAAAAACAAGAGACUAAUAACAUGAGGGAAUAUUGAAGUCAUUUGCUGGGCUCUCAUUUUGUUCUGAAGUAGUUAAGUGGGAAAAAACAACAACUUUUACUUUACAAAUCAUCGAUCCUGUUUCAACAAUCUCUUAAAAUAGAACCAAUAGCUAAAUGCCGUAUUUCUUCCUAACUUUCCGUGCGUUCUGUCUUUGCAGUAAACGGAGCGCUGUGUGUGUCACUGCUGACUUUUGGAGACGGAGAGAAAUAUUCAUGACGGAAUUCAUGAUUUCUUUUUUUUUUUUUUCGAACACCGAUGUUGCCACACACAUUCGCCAGUGAUGAAAUGACAACUGACUUCCAACAUCUGCGACAGCCAUCUGCGUUACCCCGACGCCGGCCUCUCCGUUGGUCCUCCAUAUGCUCGCAGCUCUUCCUGAGAGGGAGCCGUCGCAGUCUCCGAUGCGACUUCGGCUGCCGCGGCGGGAACUUAACGAGCUCCCAGCCCUCAUCGACGGCGGCUGACAGGCAGUUUUUUUGUUGAUCACAGACUCGAGUCCCACCGGUGAGCACUGCCUCCUCCCGCUCAUGAAUACUCAUAGGCGUUAAUGCAGUAAAAACCACCAAACGGGUUCCGUCAUUCAGACACCUCCAGGUGUUUUUUGGGGGAGGAAUGGUUAAAAAUAGCUUCGUCGGGAAGCGAGUGAUGGGCUUUUGGGUGUAUUUAAAUAUUGAAACUCAAUUAAUGUCUGUUCUCUGGAGGCCGUGUGAUGUGUUGGUUUUGUCUGCUAAUCCGCCAAUUGAGGAUCCAUUUGAGCGCAAGUUAGGAGAAUGUAGAGUGCAUUAGGGAGUCCUGGUUGAUGAAACCUGUUAUUUGUGUUUGCGGCGUGAUGUGCACGCAGCGCCGCGGCUGCGGGAAGAGACGGGGGGGACUUAAGAAAAACGUCGAGAGAUUAGCCUCAUGUCGAAACCUCUCAUUAUUCAUUCUUCCUCCUGUCAAUGUGAAGUAUUACUGCCUCUGCCAGACUUGACACGCUCCCACCAAAACCCACAAGGGACCUUUCGUUUGGCUGCCGCUCCCUUCCCGCUGCUGUUAAAUGGCUCAUUAGUACGGCUAAGAUGUCACGUACUGAAGGACGAAUGCACGGCCUCUGCAGCCGUACCUGUGCCGUCACUUGAAUGAAGAACGCAGAGUGUAUUUGACGAUGAUGUCAGAGGGAUGGAUGCCGUUUGGAGCUCUGAUCCCCACUGAAGGUUUUUGGAGCUGGGAAGGUUUCCUGGGUCGGUGUCCAGCCUUCAGCCUGCGUCAUUUUACACCACAUAGACAAGCGUGUGAUACUUAUACUGAAGCUUAGAUUCAUUCCAACAACCUUCUUCAUGGAUCUAGCCUCGUUUGGCUGUUUCUUCACAUUCCUCCACUACUUUCCAGCUGUACAUUUUACACGUGUGUUUUACAUAUGUUGUGGUCAACGUGGCAUGAAAUGGGUUUAUAUGGUAAUUUAGAUUUGGCCUUGACUCAUUUUCUGUGUGUUUUUCAAAAGUGCUCUCAAUAUGUUUUGAAUAUGGAUUCGUGUUUGCGCCCAUGAAAAGUAAUUUUGUCACAGCGUUAAAAGUAAAGUGAAAAUAAAUAAAGCGAGAUGUGUGGGAAUGUGUUUCCGCUUGAAAUUGCGUCACCGUCACUGAAUGCAUCUGCAAUGCAGAAACUCUCAUUGGCAUAUUUGUCUUUGAAAAUAGGAAGUUGUUGCAAAACUUUGCACAUCGUCCUUUCGCCCACUUCUCUUCCCUAUUAUUUCAGUGUGCGUGUGUGUGUGUAUGUGUGUGUUAUGUGUGUGCGUUCCACUUUCUCUCAUCCUGUCGUUCUCUGCCAUCAGUUUAGAGGAAGAAAUAGAUUGUCUCCUUGCUCCCAUAAUCAAUUUGUGUCAGCGCAACAGCUUUUCUCUCUGGAAGUGCCAAUGCUGGAAGGACACUUGGUAUUCACAAAAUGAAAUAACGGGCCACCAUGAAUUCUGCAGAGAGGCUCCGUCUGUUUCACUUCUGUUUAGGGAGAUCACCAAUAGAUGACUCCGGAUAGCAUCUUUCCCAAACUGCUGUGUGACCUCCCUCCUCUUGUUCCUCUGUUUCAAACCCGACGUCUCCGGUGGUCUGUGAUAAAUCUCUACGCGGCGUGUUACUUCGUGUGCCACAGUUUCCAGCAUGUUCUCCCCGUAUACAGUGGUAGUAACGGUGCGAUAUUUCCUCUCAUUUAAAAAAAACGACACACUAUGUUUUCUUCUUCCGUUUUUCGUCGUAAGGCAGAGAAGAGCAUCGAGGGAGAUGCGUGGCCGUGCAGUGCGCUAAGUCAUUGAAAUUCGAGAGGAGAGUGGGGGAGAAAAACGAGGCUAAUUUUUCAAGAGCAGGUUCACAAGCACCGUGCCAUUUGUAAGAACCUGUUCACAUGAAUACACACGAAAGAAACGUUAACUCUGCUGACAGGCUAUUAAUAAAGGGCCCCGCUGUGUGAUUUAGAGGCAGGACGGGGGGGGGGCAAGGGAGGGGCCCAGCGAGGAGGAGCCUUAUCGCGGGGUAACGCACGCCUUUUGGGGCCCCUUCGGCUCCCUCCGUUUGAUUCGGACCUCAAUUUAUCACGAGCGGCGCACACCGAGGGGCGGGGGGGGGAUCAGCCGGCUGAUCUCGGAUCAGUGAAACAAAGCUGCACCGGUGACAUUCGGAUCGAUUUAUAUCCUCACGCGACUCAUUGAGGCGCACCGGAUCUGCCUGGUCGGGGACUAAGUCGGAUUAACGGGCCGAGGUAAACCGAGGGGCCCGAUGAGCUGAGCUGCCUGUUCUGAUGAUUAAGUGGCACUUUCUUUUGUAGAGACGUUCAUGAUGGCAUUUUGACUCAUCGUAGUAGGAAAUGUUUCAUUCAUUCAAUGGCUACAUUGAUAGCCAUUGAUGUUUGCAUUAAUAGCUUUUUUAGAUUUAUGCUUGUUGUCUGUUGACAUUGGUAUUUUUUGUUUAUUCCUACUUACUGACCGUAGUAGCAACCUGUAAAUGCCUCAUUGGCUUUAAUAGUAUAUUACCUUUUUAUAGAUAUUGACACAUUGGAAAAGCAACAUUAGCACUGAUUUGAAUUUCUCAAUCAACCUCUCGAUUGUACGUUCAAUAUUUACAACCCUUGUAAGCUGAGGACACUUUUAAGGGAAAUGUCUUUAGCUGCUUAACAGUUCACUACGUUUGCCGGCUGGCCACAUGUUUUCCUGCUGCUGGGCAGGAGGCGAACAGUCAGGUUUGUUUUUUUGUUUUGCUGGAACGCACCACCCACUGUGUGUGAAAUGAUGGCAGUGUGAGGGAUCAGAGUGAUCCAAAACAAUGAAGUUUGUGCUGCAAAAAUAAAACAAUGAGCCGAAGGGUAUUUUAGGUGUGGUGAGAAUUCACUCUGGGUUCAUCAACCCGAGGGACUUUUCCAUACGUGUCAUUUUCUUCUCCUUUGUUGAAGGCAGGGUUUGUAAUCUUCUUAACAGUGUUUUUUGUUGAAAUUCUCAUUUAAUGAAAUUACUGGACAAACAAAAGAGAAGAAGCUGCUUGGCUAAUGUCACUGAGUUCCAACAAAGGCCGUGAUCGUGGCUCCUGCUCCAAACUGUAUUUUUGGGGGCCUUCGGAGGGCCGGGCUGCUGGGUUGGCAACCUUAACGUAAACUUUCUUGCGAAAUUUAAAAAAUUAGUUCUGCUAUCUACUUUCAUUCAGACUGGUUUGUUGUUUUGCUUUUCAUAUUACAUUUUCUAACUCUAGGAUUUGAUUAACUGUGUAAUGCUGUAAAAAAAACAACAACACUAAAGCCUGAAAGCAUAGAAUAAUCUGGAGUAGGAUAAAUAAAUAUCCUUUGAAAGGCGCCCGCGGUGGUGCCUGCAAUCAGCAGGUCUGAAACACUGCGCCAUUGAGGCACUGUUGAUGCUCCGAGCUGUUAGUUUAUUAAGCAGGGAAAAGGCCUGAUGUUCACCGCUCACCGCCCCAAACACUGCUCUGUGUAACCUGCUGUGUCUCCUGUUUUUCCCCACUGACCCACAAGAGCAGUGCGUGCGCACAAUCUCCGGUGUGCUUUUAGUUACGUGCGAUUAGGAGACGAAGGAGCGCUUGUUUUCCUCUCCCCGCUCGCGCUGUGUGUAGUGAAGAUGUCUGAUGACUCGCCAUGAGGAUCACGAGUGAAACGCCACACAGGGGGUCUUUUGUUAAAAGGAAACCUACUUAGUUGCUGCAAUUUGUAUUAAAAUGAUCCCUUUUUUGCUGUUAUUUCAGGGUAAACAUCAUGUAAAUACGAGGGCAUGAAAUGAAUCUUUAACAUUACUGUACAUACCUCGAAGCAAUAAGCAACGGGGCAGAAAUAAUGUGCUGCGCCGCAUUUCCAUACGGAGAGGGAGGCGGGAGGCAACUAAGAAUUUAGUUUGGGGAUUGGUGGGUGUGGGGGGGGGAGAUAAGUUCAAAGCCACAUGGAAUGUGCACAGCAAUCCGUUACACUGUCACGGCGGGGAAAAAGAUUGCGGGCCCAUUCUCACCAGGGGAAUGUGCCAAUUAUUAGAUAAUGUACAGAGCACGCCGUCGUGGAUUAAAGCCCUGCAAGUCAGGAUGCUCUUCAAAUGAAGAUGGCUUGAUUAGCCUCCACUCAGCUCCUGCAACCACUGUGUGGAGUUUCAACGGGGGGGGAUUUCAGGCCCUCCGCUCGGCUUUGUUUGGGACUCGCGCACAAGAAAAUGCAUUGUCAGAAUCGGGAGUGCUUUGAAGUUUAGUACGGCAAGAAUGUUGUCGUUUAUUCUGACAAAUCCUGGCUCUAUAUUUAAGGGGAGGGAAAGUACAACCAGGCCAAAUGUUUCUAACUUGGAUGCUUAAAUUACUGGUACCAGUUAUUAAAAAAAGAUCUGUCAAAGCCCCUUAGAAGCUCAAUGUCACCUUGCUCUCAGGGGCAUUCCUCAGGGCUGAAACCAACUUUUGAUUUUUGUCUGUUGCAUCUAUCAACCAUUUAAUCUAUAAAAUGCCCAAAAUAAUGAAACACCUUUAACUUCUGUCACAAAUAAACCCGUAUCAUCGUGGAAAAGCUCUAAAUAGGCGCUGAUGUUCAAGGACUUUUCUCCCUUUCGGCUGAAAUAAAAAAAAAUAGCCAACAUCACUGUGGCCCAAAUCUCCUGCAAAGUUUAAAGCCUUUCCUAUUCAUCAGCAUCGCCUCCAAAAGGUAAAUCAAUCAUCUGACACCUGCAUCACACCCGUACACUUGUUUUCAUCAUGUGAGAUAUUCACCCAGACUUUACCUCCUUGAUGAAAAACUAAAAACGACUGUUCUCUGCGGGAAAGAAAUCUUUUAGUGACAAAGCCCAGAAAAAACCUUUGUCCCGCAUUCUGUGAUCGCGAGCCAACGGUUUGUUUGUUUGUGUGUUUUGGAGCUGCAGAUCUCUCCUCUCGCCACACUAUUGUCAGGCCUCCAAAAAAAAUGUGGUUCUUCUAAAUGAGAUACGUUAUUAGCCCCGUGUGGAACAUCAUCUUCAUCAACUGCUUUUAAACAGGAGGGAUUGACGCAUCUGUUUUUAUAGUGCUUCAUUUUGAAGUGCAGUCCUUUAGUCACUUUGCAGACAGUCUGCAGUGAACAGUCACCACAGUGCAGAGGAUAAUUCACAAUUAUGAAAAAGAAAAGGAUUUAGAAUUCAAAGAGGGCGAUAAUGAAAAACUGUACUGUCUUUCGCCAACAAACAAUCCAGUCAUGAGGGUUCAUCCUCUGUGCACCAUCAGGAUCAGGAAUCAGGAAACAUUUAUUGCCAAAAUAUGUCAAACAUACAAGGAAUUUGUCUUGGCGGUUGGUGCGUGACAGUAGACAGACAAGACAACAGUGCACAAGUAAUAAAAUAAAAUGAAAUGCUAAUGCAAUGGGUUAGUAGAAUAAAGCUAUGGGUUAGUAAAAAAUAAUAGUAAACAAAUAGUACAUUUUUUUUUAAAUAAGUUUAAAAUUAAAAAUAUUAACAUAAAGUUAAAUGUGUCUAUCGCCCGAAGUUGGCUGGGAUGGACUCCAGCCCCCCCGCGACCCUGUGUGCAGGAUAAGCGGUUUGACAAUGGAUGGAUGGAUAAAGUUAAAUAUUAAGCAUAAAGUGCACUAGCGAACAAGUGACAAAGUGACGAGUGACGACAAAGUGAUAAAUGACAGUACAAAGGGGAGUGACCGGUGGAAUGUCAUAGUCAGUCAGUGAGGGACCGGCUCUGUUGAUGAGCCCGACUGCCGACGGGAAGAAACUGUUGGUGUGGCGGGACGUCUUAGUCCUGAUGGACCUCAGCUUCCUGCCAGAUGGAAGGGGCACAAACAGUUUUUGUCCGGGGUGGGAGGGGUCGGCCACGAUCUUUUUAGCUCGCUUCAGAGACCUGGAAGCGAACAAGUCCUGCAGGGACGGCAGAUUGCAGCCGAUCACCCUCUCUGCUGAGCGGAUGACAUGAAUAUCAAACGUUAUGACAGUCGAUCCCCAAUGAGCGGUGGACCCCCCAGGUGUCAUUUCCAACGCUAGAGCCAUUUUACAAGCGUGGCUAAAAUGAACUAUACUAUCUAUCAAUAUUUAAUUCCAGAGACACAGUUGCUGAACUUUUACGUUUUGAACAGAAUUUUUUUUUUUAAUUUGAGGCAUGUUUGUGACAGUAAGAGCAAAAACAUCUUUGAGAAAAUAAAAAAGAAUCUUUGCUCGAGUCCUGAAUAUAUAUCAAGCCAAUCCAGUUGGAAGCAAACCACGAGAUCCAAGUUGUAAACACUCUGCGGCUUAAGUGAAGAAAUAAACACAUCUUUGGGAUCACAAUACGUCACUCAGCCAGCGUCCUCGCCCCAUUUUAAGUAAACAUUUCAACACCAGUGGAAAGCCUGUUGGCUGUGUGAAGCCCCGCCCCUCCCCAGGAGGAACAUAUGGCAAGAUGAUGAAGCAGGAUUUAGAAAUAAAGAAAAUACACCAAUGAAUGGGCCUAAAAACAUACAGCAAUAAUCCCGCUACACUUAGAAGUCCAGGGGAUUGAUGAGUCUGCUUUUCCGAGUGCUAUCAGCUGAAGAUACUGUAUACAGUGUGAUCGGCUGCAUUUGAAUUAAAGCAUUAAUUCAGGGGUACUAAACCAACCUAGCCCGUGUGCGAACAUGAUAAACCAAUGCCUUCAAUUGAGCUGACAGCCAGCAGCGCGUCAGCAUCUCAUAUCGACCCCCGAGGACGACCGUGAUUCCAGAACAAACUAAUAUUAUGGGAAUGCACUUUGAAUCGGUAAACUGCAAAACACCUGCAAAUCAAGGUGCUGCAAAUAUAUAUAUACAAAAAAAAAGCAGAAUGGAAAAUGCAGAUGUGACAGUUGAACUUUGGAGAAAUUAGGUGAUACGUUUAAAAGGUGUCAACCAGUUACAAUACAUAGUAAGUUAGAUAGUAGUUCUUGAUCCAAAACAACAAAGCAGCGAGGAAAUAAAGUAGUUGAAGAAACCCAUUUCCUUCAAGUAAAUGUGGAUGAUUAGAGUUCAUCUUUGAAAUAGUAAAUACCAGCAAUCACACAUAAUG
ensembl:lncRNA